GGGGCUGCGGCUCAGUGGUAGAGCGCUCGUCUCGCGUGUGUGAGACCCUGGGUUCGAUCCUCAGCACCACA
rnacentral:tRNA from 1 species